rnacentral:rRNA from 1 species
AUGAACGCUGGCGGCGUGCCUAAUACAUGCAAGUCGAGCGAACAGACGAGGAGCUUGCUCCUCUGACGUUAGCGGCGGCCGGGUGAGUAACACGUGGAUAACCUACCUAUAAGACUGGGAUAACUUCGGGAAACCGGAGCUAAUACCGGAUAAUAUAUUGAACCGCAUGGUUCAAUAGUGAAAGACGGUUUUGCUGUCACUUAUAGAUGGAUCCGCGCCGCAUUAGCUAGUUGGUAAGGUAACGGCUUACCAAGGCGACGAUGCGUAGCCGACCUGAGAGGGUGAUCGGCCACACUGGAACUGAGACACGGUCCAGACUCCUACGGGAGGCAGCAGUAGGGAAUCUUCCGCAAUGGGCGAAAGCCUGACGGAGCAACGCCGCGUGAGUGAUGAAGGUCUUCGGAUCGUAAAACUCUGUUAUUAGGGAAGAACAAAUGUGUAAGUAACUAUGCACGUCUUGACGGUACCUAAUCAGAAAGCCACGGCUAACUACGUG